ACAUACUUCUUCAUAUGCCCAUA
rnacentral:miRNA from 2 species